rnacentral:lncRNA from 1 species
CUUCUGCGUCGCUCACGCUGGGAGCUGUAGACCGGAGCUGUUCCUAUUCGGCCAUCUUGGCUCCUCCCCCCGAGAUGGAUAAAUCCAAGAAAAUAGAGAAGAUCAAAAGAAGAUACAUAGCUGAAAACACUUGAAGGUAUAGACUACCUUGAAAGUCACGCAAGAACUGUUCUUCCUGCUUUCCAUAUCCAAGUCAGAAAACCCUUUGAAGGAGCCAAUGAUGCAGAAGUCAAGGCACAGGGAUGUGAACAUACGUGGGUCAUGUUUCAUAGUACCUGGACCAAGAGAAGAGGUCUCUCUAUGUUGAGAAAAUGGCAAUGCCUUCCCACAGCAUGGUACUUCUUCUCCUUCUGAGAAUGAUACUGUUACAUAAAGGUUUUCGGCGGUGCCCCAGAACACGGAGAUUUCCUUCUGCCCAGCUGCAUGAGGCACACAUAUCCUGGGAUGGCAUUAGGAAGAUGGCCACUU